rnacentral:lncRNA from 1 species
UGGAGCCCUGGCAGCCAGGAGGCUCAGCUGAAGGAGACUUGAAGACAGAGUCUUCAACAGUUGAUGUGGCCUGAGUUGAGCAUAGCCAGAUCUCUAGCUACACCUACUUCCACCUGCAUCCUCAUUGCUGAAGCCUCAAAAUGGCAAGAAUAGUGUUCUCUCCAAUUUAUAGGUGGGGAAAUGGAGGCACAGUAUGAUUAAGUAACUUCUCCAGGGCGUCACUGCUGACAAGAGGCAGAGGCAGGAUUUGAACUCAGCUCAGAUGAACUCAGGCUCCCUUCCUCCCCACCUCCUGCUUUACUGGGCCACAUGUGCUAACAGUGCAUACUUCAUGAUCCAGGACUCAUGGCUGUCAGCCAUCUGCAGAAGAUGAUAUGGAGAUUCCAGGAGCUGAUGUCCCCACAGAAAGAGGUACAGCGAGGAGUUGGCUGGCUCUGGCUGGUUUUAAGAACCUAUCUUUCUUUGAGCAACUGUGCUUCUGGGGUCUGAAAAUCAAGUCAUUCCAUCAUUCAUUGAGACACCUUUCUUAUCUCUCUAAUGAAGCAUACUUGAGUACUGAGUGUAUACCAGGCCCUGUGCUGGGCCUUCUUAGGAUCUAGAGAAGAGAUUAAUUCUAUAUGGAGUCCUGUGAAGGGAAAUCAUGAGAAGUGGGUUUCAACUGGG